UACGUAGGGUGCGAGCGUUAAUCGGAAUUACUGGGCGUAAAGCGUGCGCAGGCGGUGAGCUGUGUCCGAUGUGAAAUCCCCGGGCUUAACCUGGGAAUGGCAUUGGAAACUGGCUUGCUCGAGUGCGGCAGAGGGGGGUGGAAUUCCGCGUGUAGCAGUGAAAUGCGUAGAGAUGCGGAGGAACACCGAUGGCGAAGGCAGCCCCCUGGGUCGACACUGACGCUCAGGCACGAAAGCGUGGGGAGCAAACAGG
rnacentral:rRNA from 1 species